CGGUGGUCAUAGCGUUGGGGAAACGCCCGGUUCCAUUCCGAACCCGGUAGCUAAGCCUAACUGCGCCGAUGGUACUGCACUCGGGAGGGU
rnacentral:rRNA from 1 species